GACGUAGGGCGCGAGCGUUGUCCGGAUUUAUUGGGCGUAAAGAGCUCGUAGGCGGCUUGUUGCGUCGACUGUGAAAACCCGCGGCUUAACUGCGGGCUUGCAGUUGAUACGGGCAGGCUAGAGUUCGGUAGGGGAGACUGGAAUUCCUGGUGUAGCGGUGAAAUGCGCAGAUAUCAGGAGGAACACCGGUGGCGAAGGCGGGUCUCUGGGCCGAUACUGACGCUGAGGCGCGAAGGCGUGGGGAGCGAACGGG
rnacentral:rRNA from 1 species